rnacentral:rRNA from 1 species
GACGAACGCUGGCGGCAUGCCUAAUACAUGCAAGUCGAACGCUGAAGCACUCUGCUUGCGGAGUGCGGAUGAGUGGCGAACGGGUGAGUAACACGUGGGAAAUCUGCCUAUAAGAGGGGGAUAACAUUCGGAAACGGAUGCUAAUACCGCAUAUAUUCUUGGACCGCCUGGUCCUUGAAAGAAAGACGGCUUUGCUGUCGCUUAUAGAUGAUCCCGCGGCGUAUUAGUUAGUUGGUGGGGUAAAGGCCUACCAAGACAAUGAUACGUAGCCGACCUGAGAGGGUGAUCGGCCACACUGGGACUGAGACACGGCCCAGACUCCUACGGGAGGCAGCAGUAGGGAAUCUUCCACAAUGGGCGAAAGCCUGAUGGAGCAAUGCCGCGUGAAUGAAGAAGGUCUUCGGAUCGUAAAGUUCUGUUAUUAGAGAAGAACAAGUCAAGGAGUAACUGUCUUGACUUUGACGGUACCUAACCAGAAAGUCACGGCUAACUACGUG